ACAUCUGUGACAUUGAGCCCGGCUUCAGGUUUCCUUCUGGGUUGAAAGCUCAGUUUAUCUGCAUUGAAAAAAAAUCUGGAGAUUCAGAGCAGAAACUACAAGAGUAAAGGGUUUGUGUGGAGCAUGCACCUAUAACUUUUGGCAAACCAAAUAUGUUAAAUGAUGUGUAUGGUGUAUAUAGUAUGAAAGGUAUGAGAAGUACCUCAGUGAUAGAAGUUUUUCUUUAUUAGAAAAUUCACAUGGAGAACAAUGAAGUAGCAAAGUGUGAUUCUAUUAAAAUUGAAUAAGGUCUUUUGGAAACCUAUUGCCCACAUUAUCCCAUAAAGAAUAGGGUCACAAGUCAUCAGCACAUUGUCAACUCAAAUAAUACACUUCAUUUGUGUUAUAUAGUACUUAUCAUAAUGAAAUAAAAGCAUUUGCUUAUUUUUUUCUUUCAUUCAUAGGUCUGUGAAAUAUUAGACGAAUUGACUAUCUUAUUAUAACAUUAAGAACUGGUACUGAAUACUUGAAUGUGCUUGAUUUCCUCUUGCAUGACAGACAGCUUCCAUAAUGUGGCUCAGCCUCUCAUUCCAUCUGAGUCACAUGUGCAAUUAUCUAAGCACUCCUGAAGCUGCCCAUGGCCCCACACAACUCAUCAGAACUUCAUGUGGAAUAGCAGGGAGUAGAUACACCAUCUCAUCUGAAUGAGUGAAAAACAGGCAAAAUCUAUGAAACAACACUCAAGGGAGAAGAAAC